rnacentral:rRNA from 1 species
GUUAAUAAACUAAAACUUUCAACAACGGAUCUCUUGGUUCUGGCAUCGAUGAAGAACGCAGCGAAAUGCGAUAAGUAAUGUGAAUUGCAGAAUUCAGUGAAUCAUCGAAUCUUUGAACGCACAUUGCGCCCCCUGGCAUUCCGGGGGGCAUGCCUGUU